rnacentral:rRNA from 1 species
GACGAACGCUGGCGGCGUGCUUAACACAUGCAAGUCGAACGGGAAGGCCCUGCUUUUGUGGGGUGCUCGAGUGGCGAACGGGUGAGUAACACGUGAGUAACCUGCCCUUGACUUUGGGAUAACUUCAGGAAACUGGGGCUAAUACCGGAUAGGAGCUCCUGCUGCAUGGUGGGGGUUGGAAAGUUUCGGCGGUUGGGGAUGGACUCGCGGCUUAUCAGCUUGUUGGUGGGGUAGUGGCUUACCAAGGCUUUGACGGGUAGCCGGCCUGAGAGGGUGACCGGCAACAUUGGGACUGAGAUACGGCCCAGACUCCUACGGGAGGCAGCGGUGGGGAAUCUUGCACAAUGGGCGGAAGCCUGAUGCAGCAACGCCGCGUGCGGGAUGAAGGCCUUCGGGUUGUAAACCGCUUUCGCCUGUGACGAAGCGUGAGUGACGGUAAUGGGUAAAGAAGCACCGGCUAACUACGUG